rnacentral:rRNA from 1 species
GACGAACGCUGGCGGCGUGCCUAAUACAUGCAAGUAGAACGCACAGUUUAUACCGUAGCUUGCUACACCAUAGACUGUGAGUUGCGAACGGGUGAGUAACGCGUAGGUAACCUGCCUGGUAGCGGGGGAUAACUAUUGGAAACGAUAGCUAAUACCGCAUAAUAUUGAUUAUUGCAUGAUAAUUGAUUGAAAGAUGCUAUUGCAUCACUACCAGAUGGACCUGCGUUGUAUUAGCUAGUAGGUGAGGUAACGGCUCACCUAGGCGACGAUACAUAGCCGACCUGAGAGGGUGAUCGGCCACACUGGGACUGAGACACGGCCCAGACUCCUACGGGAGGCAGCAGUAGGGAAUCUUCGGCAAUGGACGAAAGUCUGACCGAGCAACGCCGCGUGAGUGAAGAAGGGUUUCGGAUCGUAAAGCUCUGUUGUAAGAGAAGAACGGGUGUGAGAGUGGAAAGUUCACACUGUGACGAUAUCUUACCAGAAAGGGACGGCUAACUACGUG